UACGGAGGGUGCAAGCGUUAAUCGGAAUUACUGGGCGUAAAGCGUGCGCAGGCGGUUUGUUAAGUCCGUUGUGAAAGCCCCGAGCUCAACUUGGGAAUUGCAGUGGAUACUGGCAGGCUGGAGUACGGUAGAGGAGCGCGGAAUUCCCGGUGUAGCGGUGAAAUGCGUAGAGAUCGGGAGGAAGGCCGGUGGCGAAGGCGGCGCUCUGGAACAUUUCUGACGCUGAGGCUCGAAAGCGUGGGGAGCAAACAGG
rnacentral:rRNA from 1 species